rnacentral:lncRNA from 1 species
AAUUUACUUUAGUAGGUGCAUGUGUCAUUUGAAUUGGUAAAAAAAAAAUAUGUUGUUUAUUUUCUUUAGCUUUAAAUUAGCUUGAAUUUUAGUUUAGUUGUUUUUCCUUUCUUUAAAUUAGUUUUGCAAUUGAUAGUUUUAACUCAGUUUAGAUAUUUGUUUGCUCUAGUAUUGGGUUUAGAAUUUUCACUCUCUGGACUCGAUUUUAAAAAUUAACUGCAACCACACCAGAGAUCCAAAUGCUACGUUUUAUAUAUCACAUGAAAAAUAAUUGAGUCUACUUUCCAGGAAAAAAAACCUCAUCUCAUUUAGAGCUCUGUAGAAAACGUUAUGGGUAAAACAUUGAACAAAGGUCAGAGCUGUCCAGUUCCAGCGUGAAUUUUCGUAAUUACUGUAGCAGUUUCGUUUUUACUGUUUUAAUUUCAUUUUCGUACAUGGUGAAACCUUUUCAAACCCCCCCUUUUGUGUUAGACUUGACUCUGAACCGCAGUUGGUCCUUGAGAGACGACCUAGGGGUCAUUCCCUAGCAUUAUAUUGCAUUUCUAAAUUGCAAUCAAAUUUGAUUGGGCGGCGACACCCAUCACCUGGGCAGUGGCUAUGAUGGUGUUUUCUCAUUUUGUCUCCUUUGCGCUUGCUUGGCAAUGCUUCAAUCUUUAUUAGGC